ensembl:snoRNA
GCUGUCCUGGACCUGCCAGCACCACAGACACAGCUACUGUGCUGUGCCUGUGACAUCAGGGCAAAGAGCAAGUGGCUAUUUCUAUGCUCAGUGUUCAGAAGCCAGUGAGCACUAAAAAUAGUUUAUAGCCUGACAUUU